CACAGUUUCUCUUUUUUAUUGGUCACAGAUUAACCAAUUUAAUUGUCAGAAUCAAUCAAUUAAUUUAUAACCACCAUCAAACAACUACUACCUCCAACAGCACUUUUGCCACGACCACGCCCACGCCCACGCCCACGCCCACCAUUCCCAGAACUACCACUAUCACCUGACAACACCACCACUGUCUUAAACAAAAUUAACACAUCCACCUCGACAGACAACGGUCACCAACAUCUCACUGCCACCACCGCAUCCAUUGCCACGGCCACCGUCGCCUAUUGCCACCGUUACCCUCAAAACAUGGAAGCCAUCACCACCACACCCUUAACAACGAAAACCACCGCAACCACUACACCACACCUGCCAUCAACCACCUGUGCAACCAUCGCACCACACCACCAGAUCCACCACGAGUCACCACAGCUACUGCGGCGUCGUCAUCUCCACCAUUAUUGCAACACCACCAUCACCACAUUGCACCAGAAAACACCACCGCACAUACCACCAUAAACAGCACACCAGACUAUCGCAUGUAUCAUGCCUAGAUCCACGGCACCACAUCAGUAUCGUCAACCGCCAACACUACCAUCAACACUUCACCAGCACCACAAAAAAAACCCCCCAAAAGUGCAGAUCAAAAAGAGAGAGAUCAG
rnacentral:lncRNA from 1 species